UACGAAGGGGGCUAGCGUUGCUCGGAAUCACUGGGCGUAAAGCGCACGUAGGCGGAUUGCUAAGUCAGGGGUGAAAUCCUGGAGCUCAACUCCAGAACUGCCUUUGAUACUGGCGAUCUUGAGUCCGGGAGAGGUGAGUGGAACCGCGAGUGUAGAGGUGAAAUUCGUAGAUAUUCGCAAGAACACCAGUGGCGAAGGCGGCUCACUGGCCCGGUACUGACGCUGAGGUGCGAAAGCGUGGGGAGCAAACAGG
rnacentral:rRNA from 1 species